GCUUGAGGAGUCCCAAAUAGGACGAAAUGCGCGUCAAAC
rnacentral:hammerhead_ribozyme from 1 species